CUACGGGCGGCUGCAGUGGGGAAUAUUGGACAAUGGGCGAAAGCCUGAUCCAGCCAUGCCGCGUGUGUGAAGAAGGCCUUCGGGUUGUAAAGCACUUUCAGUGGGGAAGAAAGCCUUGGGGCUAAUACCCUCGAGGAAGGACAUCACCCACAGAAGAAGCACCGGCUAACUCCGUGCCAGCAGCCGCGGUAAUACGGAGGGUGCGAGCGUUAAUCGGAAUUACUGGGCGUAAAGCGCGCGUAGGCGGUCUGAUAAGCCGGUUGUGAAAGCCCCGGGCUCAACCUGGGAACGGCAUCCGGAACUGUCAGGCUAGAGUGCAGGAGAGGAAGGUAGAAUUCCCGGUGUAGCGGUGAAAUGCGUAGAGAUCGGGAGGAAUACCAGUGGCGAAGGCGGCCUUCUGGACUGACACUGACGCUGAGGUGCGAAAGCGUGGGUAGCAAACAGGAUUAGAUACCCCUGUAGUC
rnacentral:rRNA from 1 species